AUGAAGUAUGUGCUGGUGACCGGCGGCGUGGUGAGCGGCCUGGGCAAGGGCGUGACGGCCAGCAGCAUCGGCGUGCUCCUCAAGGCCUGCGGCCUCCGCGUCACCUCCAUCAAGAUCGAUCCCUACCUCAACACCGAUGCCGGAACCAUGUCCCCCUUCGAGCACGGCGAGGUCUUCGUCCUCGACGACGGCGGCGAGGUGGACUUGGAUCUUGGAAAUUACGAGCGGUUCCUGGACAUCAAGCUGACUCGCGACAACAACAUAACCACUGGAAAGAUCUACCAGGCUGUUAUUAACAAAGAACGAAAAGGAGACUACCUGGGAAAAACUGUUCAGGUUGUUCCGCACAUUACCGAUGAAAUACAAGACUGGAUUGAACGUGUGGCGAUGAAUCCAGUUGAUGGCACGGAUAAGCCAGCUGAUGUUUGUGUCAUAGAACUUGGUGGCACUAUAGGGGACAUCGAAUCAAUGCCUUUUAUCGAAGCAUUGGGUCAAUUUUCGUACCGCGUAGGAGCUGGAAACUUUUGCCUGGUUCAUGUUAGUCUUGUACCAGUUCUAACCGUAGUUGGUGAACAGAAAACAAAGCCUACCCAGCAUAGUGUCCGUGGACUAAGAGGACUUGGGUUGAUGCCUGAUAUCUUGGCAUGCCGCAGUACUCAGCCACUGGAAGAAAAUGUGAAACUGAAACUCUCGCAGUUUUGCCAAGUUCCGGUUUCAAAUAUCGUUAAUCUCCAUGAUGUAACAAACAUCUGGCACAUCCCUUUGUUGCUCAGGGAUCAGAGAGCCCAUGAAGCUAUUUUGAAGGUUCUGGGCCUUUGGUGUGUGGGGAAAGUGCCUCAAGAACCUAAGUUGUCUGAAUGGACUGAAAGAGCCAGCAGAUUCGACAAACUGAAAUCUCCGGUCAGGAUUGCCAUGGUUGGAAAAUAUACCGGCAUAUCGGAUUCCUACCUGUCUAUUUUGAAGGCUCUUCUGCAUGCAUCGGUUGCUUUGGACAGGAAACUGGUGGUGGACUGGGUUCCUUCCUGUGAUCUUGAAGAUUCUGCUGCUGUAGAGACGCCUGAUGCCUAUGAAAAAGCAUGGGGUCUACUAAAGGGUGCAAACGGCGUACUAGUUCCGGGAGGCUUUGGAGACAGAGGUGUCCAGGGAAAAAUUCUUGCUGCAAAACAUGCGCGAGAAAACAACGUUCCGUAUCUCGGCAUUUGCUUGGGCAUGCAAAUUGCAGUGAUCGAGUAUGCGCGUUCUGUCAUGAAGCUGCGUGAUGCUAAUAGCACAGAGUUUGAUGCAGCUGCAAAAACACCAUGUGUUAUCUUCAUGCCAGAGGGCUCUAAAACUCACAUGGGUGCGACGAUGCGCCUCGGUUCAAGGAGGACAUUUUUCCAGGUCAACAACUGCAAAUCAGCUAAACUGUAUGCCAAUGCUAACUAUGUAGACGAACGACAUCGCCACAGAUACGAGGUGAAUCCUGACAUGGUCUCAGAAUUUGAGAAAGCAGGGCUUUCUUUCGUGGGCAGGGAUGAAAGCGGGAGACGCAUGGAGAUUAUUGAGCUACCAACUCAUAAGUUUUUCGUGGGCACGCAAUUUCAUCCUGAAUUUAACUCUAGGCCUGGAAAGCCAUCACCACUUUUCUUAGGAUUGAUCGCCGCAUCAUCUGGACAGCUAGAGCACCUGCUUCAGCGCACUUCCGGCGCUGUCAGCUCACCGACCAGGUGCAUCGCCGGUCCCGGAGCCCCUAAGGCGAAGUUAAGGAUGAACGGCCUGGUGUCGACAUACUUCGCGAAUGGCAGCAGUAUUCACAUCUAG
rnacentral:rRNA from 1 species